rnacentral:misc_RNA from 1 species
AUAAUUAACAGACGUAUUUGAGCUCUCACAUGGUAGAUUAGGGACAUAAUCUUGUAAUUAUACAACCAAACAUAAGCAAAAGACAAAACUACACGCUUUAAAGUAUUUUUAAGGAUCGAUUUUGGACUGCUUUGGAAAAGCGUGUGAUUAUGAUAAAUGAUGACAGAUGAUACGAUAUCUUCACAAUUUGGGCUACUUGACAGCUUACCAACCCAUCCUUCACCGGAAGCUUAACUUUUUCCUUGAAAAAACUUCGGGGCUUUUACUAAUUACAGGUCUCCAUUCCAAGGGUUUCAUUUUGAGCAGUUUCAAUUAAAUUUAAUUCCUUUCUCUUGUGAAAUUGAUCUUUUCCAGGAUCUAAACUUAUGCGUUUGGUGGGGGAAAAAAGAAGGGAAAUAAAACAAAGUCUAAGAAGUUGAAAAUCAGGAAGAAGAUUGAGUUUCCAUUUACGACGAAGCCCCCAAGGCCUGGUUCCUUGUUAGUGUUUGUCAUCCGGCUGGUCUAGCACACUCAAGUCCACGUCGUUGAAACGGCCAAGUCCAAAGUAGUCAUCUCCAAUAUCAUUAUGAGCUAAAAACCAUGGAGAGUUACCCUCUGGUGAGGACAUUCCAAAUUCACAAUAUUCUUCUCUAGCGAUGGGAAAAUUCCAUGUUGAAUCUUCAAGAUAAGUGUCUGAAAAUAUGUAACUCAUCAAAGGAUCAUCGUCGUUGUUUGGGUCUG